rnacentral:rRNA from 1 species
GACAGAGGGGGCGAGCGUUGUCCGGAGUCACUGGGCGUAAAGCGUGCGUAGGUGGUGCGAUGCGUCGGCGCUGAAAGCGCCCGGCUUAACCGGGCGACGGGCGACGAUACGAUCGCACUGGAGGCAGGGAGACGUUGGUGGAAUUCCGGGUGUAGUGGUGAAAUGCGUAGAGAUCCGGAGGAAUGCCGGUGGCGUAAGCGGCCAACGAGUCCUGACCUGACACUGAGGCACGAAAGCGUGGGAGCUAACCGG